rnacentral:misc_RNA from 1 species
UUAAGUUCAGCGGGUAUCCCUACCUGAUCCGAGGUCAACCUUAAGUAAUUGAGGGUUGCUGGCAAGCACGCAGACGAACUCCAAAGCGAGAAGAAUUACUACGCUUGAAGCCGAAAGGCACCGCCACUGAUUUUGAGGCCCGCCAGAACCGGCGAGGCCCAAUACCAAGCAGAGCUUGAGGGUUGUAAUGACGCUCGAAC